rnacentral:rRNA from 1 species
CCGGGCUUAACGUUUGAACCCUGCGGAAGGUCAUUA